rnacentral:rRNA from 1 species
CAAUAGCGUAUAUUAAAGUUGUUGCAGUUAAAACGCUCGUAGUCGGAUUUCGGGGCGGGGCCGCCGGUCUGCCGAUGGGUAUGCACUGGCGGUCGCGUCCUUCCUUCCGGAGACUGGCCCUACUCUUAACUGAGCGGGGUCGGGAGACGGAUCGUUUACUUUGAAAAAAUCAGAGUGUUUCAAGCAGGCAGCUCGCUCUUGCAUGGAUUAGCAUGGGAUAAUGAAAUAGGACUUUGGUGCUAUUUUGUUGGUUUCGAACACCGAAGUAAUGAUUAACAGGGACAGUCAGGGGCACUCGUAUUCCGCCGAGAGAGGUGAAAUUCUCAGACCAGCGGAAGACGAACCACUGCGAAAGCAUUUGCCAGGGAUGUUUUCACUG